rnacentral:rRNA from 1 species
AUGUUGGUUAACAGAUCCUCAUUUGCUGGACCGGCUGGCGAUGAUCUUUUAUCGAUUUGUCGUCAGUUGCCAGAACGUUUACUUUGAGAAAUUAGAGUGCUAAAAGCAGGCUCACGCCUAUAUAUAUUGCAUGGAAUAAUGAAAUAAGAUCUCGAUUUUAUUUCGUUGGUUUUAGAAAUUGAGAUAAUGAUUAAUAGGAUCAGAGGGGGGCGUACGUACUGUGGUGUGAGAGGUGAAAUUCUUGGAUCGCCACAGGACGAACAGCAGCGAAGGCGUUCGCCAAGAAUGUUUUCAUUAAUCAAGAACGAAAGUUUGAGGUUCGAAGACGAUUAGAUACCGUCCUAGUUCAAACCAUAAACGUUGCCAACUGUCUUUUAGAUGCGGUUAUUUAUAUGACUCAUCUGGCGGAUCUCGAGAAAAUCUAAGUUUUUAGGUUCCGGG